rnacentral:rRNA from 1 species
CAUGGGCGAACCCUGAGCAGCCUGCCGCGUGUGUGAAGAAGGCCUUCGGAUUGUAAAGCACUUUAAGUUGGGAGGAAGGGCAGUUACCUAAUACCUGGUUGUUUUGACGUUACCGACAGAAUAAGCACCGGCUAACUCUGUGCCAGCAGCCGCGGUAAUA